CAACUUUCAACAACGGAUCUCUUGGUUCUGGCAUCGAUGAAUAACGCAGCGAAAUGCGAUAAGUAGUGUGAAUUGCAUAAUUCAGUGAAUCAUCUAAUCUUUGAACGCACAUUGCGCCCCUUGGUAUUCCAUGGGGCAUGCCUGUUCGAGCGUCAUU
rnacentral:rRNA from 1 species